UUUACGGUAUGUUCUGUCUGGACACUGAAGUUGGCACUAGAGAGCUCCAGUUAAGGUUACCAUGCUCUGGAGGUUAGAACUCCUACUUGGAAAGUCUUUACAAACUAAUAUGGCUGCUGCGUUUAUAAAGUACAGCACACCAUGAUGAACUGUGCAUUUACACAUAAUGACAACAGACAGGUACGGACUGCCCAUAGGUAGAAUUAGAGCAAACCACCAGCGUUGGGCACUGGUGCGUCGUUUUGCUGCGUCUCUGGAUAUAUUCACACAGCGGAGCGUUUUGUUAAUGGCAUAAUUUCUCUGGAAACCAGGAUUCCAUGAAGACAUUUUUUUUAUUUUGCGUCAACUCUUUUCUGUCCUGGUAGGACAAAAGCCAAGGAUCAGUUAUGGAACAGCUGGCCAGUAGAUUUGAUGAGUGGGCAGACAUCAACUUGCUGCAGCAGAACUAGUCAUCCGUGUGUCAAGCGUAAAUUGUGAGAGAGACUUCUCUGCAAUGAACAGGAUCAAAACUGACCUGCAAGACAAACUCCAGGAGAGCACCUGGCUGCAUGCUUGAGAAUUGCACUAAUGGACCAGCCCCUGAAGCCGCUCCAUACAUUAAAUGCAUAUGACGAUACGGGGGCUGGGAGGCAUAAGAAGGAUGUGGCUGCAAAUCAAGAUGAAGUAUAAAAAAUCAGUUUAAUCAGCUGCUUUGCGCCAUCUCGGUUGUCCGGCAACAUGAAUAACACUAAGAUAAGGGCGGUGGAGCAGCCAGUGGAGGCUAGACCGUCCCAAUUAACAAGCAGAUCUCUUCCUUGAAAAUGGGUGUGGCGAAACUGCUCUACAGCGCCACCUAAAGUGAGUUGGGGCUACUGGUAAGUCCUAAAAACUUGAAAGAAUUCAUGUAGGUAGAUCUUCCCAAAUCAUGAAAAAAAAAGUCUCUUGGGGUAUGCCCUAAAACCAACAGGGAGUCAGCCAUUUUGGGUCAAAGGUCAUUUUUGGGCCCUUUUUGACUUUUACUCACUGCAAACUUUCACGAACUUCUCCUAGGGCUUUCGAGCUAAUGACUUGGUCUGUUUGCCAUUGAGGCACGUGAGAGUAAAAGUUAUGGAAUUCAUGAGUUUCUGAAAAUGUGUAGGGGGCGUGGCCAAGGCACGAACUUGACCUUCAUAAAAACAAAUUUCAAUCCCUUAUAACCUUCCAACUGAAAGACCAAAAAACUGAAACCUGUCAUGGUGGAUGCCUGUGAGGUCCUCUACGAAAUUCUGUGGUCAAACGUCAUUAAAGCCACGCCC